ACAUUACAUUAGCGUAUUAGACAUGUUCACGUUAUCACUUAUCACGUAAAGUCCAAAUUGGCAAAUUCCAAAACAACACGAAAAUCGAAAAUAGAAAGAGAGAGACUCUUUGUCUCUUCAUCUUCCUCACUGCGGCACAUCCAAUUCCAGAAUACAGACCUGAGAGUUGAGACUUCCAUAGUUCCAUUCCAGAGUCCAGACUUUCCACUCUAGUUUCCAGUUCAGCACUUCGUCUUCCUCAUCAUCUGUUCCAGUGGAUUCCAGAGCAAGAGCCAAGAGCAGACCAGACUCCAUCACUCCAGAGAGGCAGAGAUCGAGAUUCGAGAAUCCUCCCAAACAGAGUUUUUCGUCUGCCGCAGUUCAGGCAGGCACUCUGCACUUAGGCACUCCUUCACUGCCAGUUUACAGGCUUACAACAGCCAACAGGUAUUUAUUAACUUAAUCCUCCCAAACAGAGUUCUUCGUCUGCUGCAGUUCAGGCAGGCACUCCUUCACCGCCAGUUUACAGGCUUACAACAGCCAACAGGUAUUUAUUAACUUCUUCUUCUUCUUCUCCUCCAGAAGUCCAAAGUCCCAGCAUUCUGAAAGUGACACUACCAAAGGUUGAAGGCAUUCUGAAAUUCUCUAAUCAUUCUUUUUACCAUUAAUAAAUACUUGUAAUCCGUCUGACGAAUCCGGCUAUUCUGUUCUGUGGAGUGUAGAUUCAGUUCGGAUAUUGAUAUUUUUCCUCAAUGGCCAUCCCAACAAUGACUUAUAACUGUUUUACACUUUUACUUUGUUGUCUUGUUGACUCUAAGCCUAAGGUAUAAACUAAUGGGAAUUGCUUUCAAAUAAUCUGGUACACUUCUCAUUCCAGAUGAUCCACAGAAUCAUGGGGGGAGCUGAUCGGAUCACAGAAUGAAGCUGAGAGUUCUUAGUGCUGAGGGCCCACCAAUGAAUAAGUCUUUGAGUGAGAGUGGGUCGGGUAGAUUGGAAUCAUCGGAUCAUUGGAAUGUCAAACAAAUUGCUGAAAAAUGACCAGAUUUUACGACCAAGAACACUUGCACUGAAGAGAUGAUUGAUGGUUUCUAUGUGAUGAGAUCCACGACAACGACACUUUGGAACCAUGCACAGACCUUUCUUUGAAAUCAUUUCCUAUCUUUCCCUAAUUCCCUUCCUUUCCCUACCUUUUCCUUCAACCAAUCCAAUCUUGCACCAACUCAGCCAACAGUAUAGGCUCAAGGAAAGAGUACAAAUACAAAUACAGACAGAUUUUAUACUGUAUCUUAAUUUAGAUUUUAUACAAAUAUAUAAAAUACAAAUACAGAGUACAAAUACAAAAUCUUUUAAAUAUUUAGAUUUUAUACUGUAUCUGAAUUCUAUAUGUUGUAUUCUUUAUUGUUUAUUGAAAGAAAAAAGAAGAGAAAGUUCAUUAAAACUUUAAAAAUAGUGGAAAUGAGCCAACAAAAUAUGUUAGUGAACUAACUAGAAAACUCAAUACCCUAUUCAUAACACAUUUUUAAAAUUAACUAUAAAACUCAAUACCUUAUUCGUAACACAUUUGUUUUUAUCUUGAUAGGGAUUUGGACUUGGAUUCUUGGAGUAUUUAUUUAGUGUGCUAUAUUUUUUAGCAACUCAUUUGCUUUAUUGUGCAAUAUGUCACAACAAAUUGGAGAGACUCCUACCAAUAUUACUGAAAUUGGAAGUCCACACCCCCGGCCACGACCUUCCAACCAAAUGAAUUCGAUGAAUGUAGUUGCUAAAGGAAAAAAAAAAAAAGCGAUGAAGCCAAGGUCAGAGGUAUGGGACCACUUUUCCAAAAUUAUCUCAGAUAAUGGUGAAAUAAACGGCAAGUGCAACUAUUGUGAUAGAGAAUUUUGUUGUGACCCUAAGAAAAAUGGGACAGGCUCAUUAAGGAACCACAUGAACAUAUGUAAGAAAAACCCCUAUAGCUUAAAGGCAAAACAAUCACAGUUAAAUAUGCAAUCAGCCUGAAGGGAGGGGGAGGGUGAAAACAAUGAGAAGAUGAGUUCCCUUAGUUGUUGGAAGUUUAACCAAGAGGCCAUUAGAAAGGGCUUAGCUGAGAUGCUCAUUGUUGAUGAGCUUCCAUUCAAGUUUGUGGAUGGUGAGGGCUUUAAAAAGUUUUUCACUUUCUUGUCCUAGGUUUCGGAUUCCAUCUAGAUGGACUAUUAUUAGAGAUUGUUACCAAUUGUACCUAGAUGAGAAAUUGGAGUUAAAGAAAUUCCUAAAAAAAGCAUGGCAAAGGAUUUGUCUUACUACAGACACAUGGUCUUCUUUGCAAAGGAUCAACUACAUGUGUUUAACGGCCCACUUUAUUGAUAAUGAUUGGAAAUUGAAUAAAAAGGUUCUUAACUUUUGUACAAUUUCUAGUCAUAGAGGAGAGGCCAUUGGUAAGGCGGUGGAAAAAUGUUUGAUUGAAUGGGGGAUUGAUACAGUUGACAAUGCGAGUUCAAAUGAUAUUGCAAUUACAUACUUGAAAAGGAAAAUUUCUAAUUGGGGAACUUGUAUUCUAGAUGGGAAACUGCUUCAUAUGAGGUGCAUUGCACACAUUAUAAAUCUAGUUGUGAAUGAUGGCUUGAAAGAAAUGGGUAAGUCUAUUAGUCGUGUUCGGGAGGUUGUGAGAUAUGUAAGGCAAUCUUUGGCUAGGUUGCAAAAAUUUAAAGAAUUUGUUGAGGUUGAAAAGAUUCAAAGUAAGAGUUUGUUGUGUUUAGAUGUUAGUACUAGAUGGAAUUCGACAUACCUAAUGUUGGAUGCAGCUCAAAAGUUUGAAAGAGUCUGAGAGGUUUGAGGAUCAUGAUCCUCAUUUUAGAAGUGAACUUGAGACGGAGGAUGGGAUUCCUACUUGUUUUGAUUGGGAGAAUGUUAGGAGGCUAGUGCUAUUUUUAAAGCAUUUUUAUGAUCUCACAGUACGGGUUUCGGCCUCCUUGUAUGUCACAUCAAACAACUUUUUCCAUGAAAUUAAUGCAGUUGAGUGCCUUUUGCAAGAAUGGGUAAACAAUGAGGACAAAAAUUUAAGGGAGAUGGCAGAGAGGAUGAAAGGGAAGUACGAUAAGUAUUGGGGAAACAUUGAAAAGAUGAAUAAGUUGAUCUAUAUUGCAGUUGUAUUAGACCCUCAACACAAAUUAGAGUAUGAGUUUGUACUUAAUGAAACUUAUCAAGGUGCCAAGGGUCAAGAAUUUGCAAAAAGAGUCAGGGAAGCCUUGUAUGAGUUGUAUAAUGAAUAUAAGAGUAUGUUUGCACCUCAGAGUGGAAGUGGACAAACUACUGAAAAUGUUAAGUGUUCAAUUUCAAGUGAGAUAGAGAGUGAGCAACCCCAAUAAUCACAAGCAAAGAAGAUGUUGAUGAUGUCUCGAUUUAAGAAAUACAAGUUAGUAAGUGGAGGGGGAGAUGCUAAAUCAGAGUUGGAUAGACAUCUGAAUGAAGAUACUAAAGAGGGACAAGGUAAUGACGACUUUGAUAUUUUAAGUUGGUGGAAAGUUAACAGUCCCAGAUUCCCUAUACUUUCACAGAUGGCUCGUGAUGUAUAGCAGUUCCCAUUUCUACAAUUGCUUCUAAGUCCACUUUUAGCAUUGGAGGACGAGUGCUUGAUGCAUUUAGGAGCUCUUUGACACCUAAGGUAGCAGAAGCACUUAUAUGUACUCGAGAUUGGACUCGGUCAUCGAAACAUGCAAUUAAUGUUGAAGAAGAUUUAGAAGAGAUUGAUAAAUUUGAAAAUGAUUUACCUAAGAGUGCAUCGGAGCAAGGAAUAGUGGUUGAUAUUUGAUUAUUAAAUUCAUUCCUAUGCUUAUUCUUGGAUUAUAGCAGGUGGGACUUGGGAGGCAAAGUCUUUGUGGAAAUGCUGUAGCGGUGGAAGUUUUGGACUUUUGGUUGUCUUUGUGGCAAAGUCUUUGAAGCUUUGAAAGUUUUGGACUAUUAUGUAUUCUUCCUAUUUUGUUUGGUGACUAGAAUCGCUCAUUCAAGAAUAACAGGACCUUCUAUUAUGUCUUUGUGGCAAACAGGACCUUCUUAGUUCCUAUUUUGUUUGAUUUUUGAAAUGCAAGUUUUCUGUCGUAUUUUAACA